rnacentral:tRNA from 1 species
GCGCGAGUGGCGGAACAGGCAGACGCGCACGGUUGAGGGCCGUGUCCCGGAGACGGGGUGGAGGUUCAAGUCCUCUCUCGCGCACCA